UACACAGCAUUGAGAUUGCCUUCAAUGACAACAAGCUCAGUCCGAUAAAGCUGUGACACACCGCCCCAGACCAUGACGGGCCCUCCACCUCCAUAUCGUUCCUGCUCCAGAGUACAGGCUUCGGUGUAAAGCUCAUUUCUUUGACGAUAAGCGCAAAUCCGACCAUCACCCCUAACCAUUUAAUCAUUAAAAUAUUUAUAAUUGAUAAUUGAUCAUUCAUAAAACAGGUUUUAAAUAAACAGUUUCAAAGAAACACACACACUCUCACACACACCAACAAACCAAUUUCUCUUGUGUAGAGAGAUAGAGAGGGACAUAAACAGAUCGGCAGACAGAGACAGAGAUUUCAUUAAAGCUUGUAACCUGACUCCAACCAUGCAGACUGGCCUCAGACACACACGAACACACACACCCCAAACAAUUAAUUCCUCUUGAGGAGGGAGAGAGAGAGAGAUCAUUCAAUGAAGUGGCCUAUUGUAACCCGACACCACCAAAUCCCCUUCUUCAAGCUGUGAGGGCCUCAGACGUUGCCUCUUCCACGCUGGCUCUCCAUGGCCUUCCAGGUUUCGUAUUCUCUCUUUUUGAUGAUAGAUCUACCUUCUUGCCAUUAAGCUCAAGAUUAGUCUUUCGGACAGAAGUGACCAUCUUAGUAAAUGUUCAUGAUUGUGGAAAAUCUGUUGGACUUGUUAAAUCAUGAAGCUAAAGACAGGCACAAAAUAGUUGACCUCUGUGCAAGUGUUUGAAAAUACAUACGAAAUAACAGAUAUAGUGGCAUUUGCGCUAUUGAAUUUAGAACAACCGAAAAUUAUCACAUUGCAGUCUGGACUGUAUGUUACUGCAGAGAUUCAAAAGGCUUUCAAAUCAUCUCACCCGCAGACAUCCUUUGCAAAUACUUACCCAGGCUGGGAUGUUCCACCUGAUACAGAACAUGUCUUAUCUUAAGCCAAUCUCUAUUGCGAAACAUAGGAGAAAAACUCCAAUAUUUUCAAUCAAUCAAUCAAUAAAAUGUUAU